UACUGAGGGUGCAAGCGUUAAUCGGAAUUAUUGGGCGUAAAGCGCGCGUAGGCGGCUUGGUAAGUCGGAUGUGAAAGCCCUGGGCUUAACCUGGGAAUUGCAUUCGAUACUGGCUGGCUAGAGUAUGGUAGAGGGAAGUGGAAUUUCCGGUGUAGCGGUGAAAUGCGUAGAUAUCGGAAGGAACACCAGUGGCGAAGGCGACUUCCUGGGCCAAUACUGACGCUGAUACGCGAAAGCGUGGGGAGCAAACAGG
rnacentral:misc_RNA from 1 species